AGGAUAAACGCUGGCGGCGUGCCUAACACAUGCAAGUCGAACGCCCUACGUAAGUAGGGAGUGGCGGACGGGUGAGGAACACGUGGGUAAUCUGCCCUUCGGUGAGGAAUACCGGCGAGAAAUCGCCGACAAUACCGCAUGCGUUUCACGGAAGUGAAAGAAAGUCGUAAGACGCCGAGGGAUGAGCCUGCGCCCGAUUAGUUUGUUGGUGGGGUAAAAGCCUACCAAGACUACAAUCGGUAGCUGGUCUGAGAGGACGAUCAGCCACACUGGGAUUGAGAACGGCCCAGACUCCUACGGGGGGCAGCAGUGAGGAAUUUUCGCAAUGGGGGCAACCCUGAACGAGCAACGCCGCGUGCAGGAGAAGGUUUUCGGAUCGUAAACUGCUUUUCUGUGGGAAGAGAACGGACGGUACCACAGGAAGAAGCCCAGGCUAACUACGCGCCAGCAGCCGC
rnacentral:rRNA from 1 species